rnacentral:rRNA from 1 species
UACGUAGGGGGCGAGCGUUGUCCGGAUUCAUUGGGCGUAAAGGGCGCGUAGGCGGCCACCGCAAGUCAGUUGUGAAAGCUCUGGGCUUAACCCAGAAAGGUCAACUGAUACUGCGGGGCUAGAGUGCAGAAGGGGCAACUGGAAUUCUCGGUGUAGCGGUGAAAUGCGUAGAUAUCGAGAGGAACACCUGCGGCGAAGGCGGGUUGCUGGGCUGACACUGACGCUGAAGUGCGAAAGCUAGGGGAGCGAACGGG